GAUGAACGCUGGCGGCGUGCCUAAUACAUGCAAGUCGAGCGAACAGAUGAGAAGCUUGCUUCUCUGAUGUUAGCGGCGGACGGGUGAGUAACACGUGGGUAACCUACCUAUAAGACUGGGAUAACUCCGGGAAACCGGGGCUAAUACCGGAUAAUAUUUUGAACCGCAUGGUUCAAUAGUGAAAGACGGUUUCGGCUGUCACUGAUAGAUGGACCCGCGCCGUAUUAGCUAGUUGGUAAGGUAACGGCUUACCAAGGCGACGAUACGUAGGCGACCUGCGAGGGUGAUCGGACACACUGGAACUGAGACACGGUCCCGACUCCUACGGGAGGCAGCAGUAGGGAACCUUCCGCAAUGGGCGAAAGCCUGACGGAGCAACGCCGCGUGAGUGAUGAAGGUCUUCGGAUCGUAAAACUCUGUUGUUAGGGAAGAACAAAUUUGUUAGUAACUGAACAAGUCUUGACGGUACCUAACCAGAAAGCCACGGCUAACUACGUGCCAGCCGCCGCAGUAA
rnacentral:rRNA from 1 species